GAUGAACGCUGGCGGCGUGCCUAAUGCAUGCAAGUCGAGCGAAUGGAUUGAGAGCUUGCUCUUAUGAAGUUAGCGGCGGACGGGUGAGUAACACGUGGGUAACCUGCCCAUAAGACUGGGAUAACUCCGGGAAACCGGGGCUAAUACCGGAUAACAUUUUGAACCGCAUGGUUCGAAAUUGAAAUGCGGCUUCGGCUGUCACUUAUGGAUGGACACGCGUCGCAUUAGCUAGUUGGUGAGGUAACGGCUCACCAAGGCAACGAUGCGUAGCCGACCUGAGAGGGUGAUCGGCCACACUGGGACUGAGACACGGCCCAGACUCCUACGGGAGGCAACAGUAGGGAAUCUUCCGCAAUGGACGAAAGUCUGACGGAGCAACGCCGCGUGAGUGAUGAAGGCUUUCGGGUCGUAAAACUCUGUUGUUAGGGAAGAACAAGUGCUAGUUGAAUAAGCUGGCACCUUGACGGUACCUAACCAGAAAGCCACGGCUAACUACGUGCCAGCCGCCGCUGUAA
rnacentral:rRNA from 1 species